GCAGUGGUGGUUCAGUGGUAGAAUUCUCACCUUCCACGCAGAGACCCGGGUUCGAUUCCCAGCCAACGCA
rnacentral:tRNA from 1 species